rnacentral:rRNA from 1 species
AACGAACGCUGGCGGCAGGCCUAACACAUGCAAGUCGAGCGCGCCCUUCGGGGUUAGCGGCGGACGGGUGAGUAACGCGUGGGAACGUGCCCUUCUCUGCGGAAUAGCCUCGGGAAACUGAGAGUAAUACCGCAUACGCCCUUUGGGGGAAAGAUUUAUCGGAGAAGGAUCGGCCCGCGUUGGAUUAGGUAGUUGGUGGGGUAAUGGCCCACCAAGCCGACGAUCCAUAGCUGGUUUGAGAGGAUGAUCAGCCACACUGGGACUGAGACACGGCCCAGACUCCUACGGGAGGCAGCAGUGGGGAAUCUUAGACAAUGGGGGCAACCCUGAUCUAGCCAUGCCGCGUGAGUGAUGAAGGCCUUAGGGUUGUAAAGCUCUUUCAGCUGGGAAGAUAAUGACGGUACCAGCAGAAGAAGCCCCGGCUAACUCCGUG